GAGUCAUUACCGAGGUCAGUAUAAUGUCUUUACAAACAAAAAAAAAAUGUUUUUUUUAAUGAAGAAAAACAAUUUAAUUUUUUAUUAUAAUAUUUGAGCAAAACACAGUGGGUGGCGGUCAUAACUUUUUUUUAAAUAAUUUUUACUUUGAAUCUUCAGUCACAUUGCCAUAAAAUGAACUUUUUUUGUUGGAUCAAUUA